rnacentral:rRNA from 1 species
AUUGAACGCUGGCGGCAUGCUUUACACAUGCAAGUCGAACGGUAACAGCACUUCGGUGGCUGACGAGUGGCGAACGGGUGAGUAAUACAUCGGAACGUGCCUAGUAGUGGGGGAUAACUACUCGAAAGAGUAGCUAAUACCGCAUGAGAUCUAAGGAUGAAAGCAGGGGACCUUCGGGCCUUGCGCUUCUAGAGCGGCUGAUGGCAGAUUAGGUAGUUGGUGGGAUAAAAGCUUACCAAGCCGACGAUCUGUAGCUGGUCUGAGAGGACGACCAGCCACACUGGGACUGAGACACGGCCCAGACUCCUACGGGAGGCAGCAGUGGGGAAUUUUGGACAAUGGGCGCAAGCCUGAUCCAGCAAUGCCGCGUGCAGGAUGAAGGCCUUCGGGUUGUAAACUGCUUUUGUACGGAACGAAAAGCCCUCUUCUAAUACAGGAGGGUCAUGACGGUACCGUAAGAAUAAGCACCGGCUAACUACGUG